UACGUAGGGUGCGAGCGUUGUCCGGAAUUAUUGGGCGUAAAGAGCUUGUAGGCGGUUUGUCGCGUCUGCCGUGAAAAUCCGGGGCUCAACCCCGGACUUGCGGUGGGUACGGGCAGACUAGAGUGUGGUAGGGGAGACUGGAAUUCCUGGGGUAGCGGUGAAAUGCGCAGAUAUCAGGAGGAACACCGAUGGCGAAGGCAGGUCUCUGGGCCACUACUGACGCUGAGAAGCGAAAGCGUGGGGAGCGAACAGG
rnacentral:rRNA from 1 species